UACGGGAGGCAGCAGUGGGGAAUAUUGCACAAUGGGCGCAAGCCUGAUGCAGCCAUGCCGCGUGUAUGAAGAAGGCCUUCGGGUUGUAAAGUACUUUCAGUCGUGAGGAAGGUGUUAAGGUUAAUAACCUUAGCAAUUGACGUUAGCGACAGAAGAAGCACCGGCUAACUCCGUGCCAGCAGCCGCGGUAAUACGGAGGGUGCGAGCGUUAAUCGGAAUUACUGGGCGUAAAGGGCACGCAGGCGGUUAAUUAAGUUGGAUGUGAAAUCCCCGGGCUUAACCUGGGAAUGGCAUUCAAGCUGGUUAGCUAGAGUCUUGUAGAGGGGGUAGAAUUCCAUGUGUAGCGGUGAAAUGCGUAGAGAUGUGGAGGAAUACCGGUGGGCGAAGGCGGCCCCUGGGACAAAGGACUGACGCUCAUGUGCGAAAGCGUGGGGAGCAAAC
rnacentral:rRNA from 1 species